CCUACGGGCGGCAGCAGUCGAGAAUCAUUCACAAUGGGGGAAACCCUGAUGGUGCGACGCCGCGUGGGGGAAUGAAGGUCUUCGGAUUGUAAACCCCUGUCAUGUGGGAGCAAAUUAACAAGAUAGUACCACAAGAGGAAGAGACGUCCAACUCUGUGCCAGCAGCCGCGGUAAUACAGAGGUCUCAAGCGUUGUUCGGAAUCACUGGGCGUAAAGCGUGCGUAGGCUGUUUCGUAAGUCGUGUGUGAAAGGCGCGGGCUCAACCCGCGGACGGCACAUGAUACUGCGAGACUAGAGUGAUGGAGGGGGAAGCGGAAUUCUCGGUGUAGCAGUGAAAUGCGUAGAUAUCGGGAGGAACACUCGUGGCGAAGGCGGGUUCCUGGACAUUAACUGACGCUGAGGCACGAAGGCCAGGGGAGCGAAAGGGAUUAGAUACCCCUGUAGUC
rnacentral:rRNA from 1 species